CCCGACUUGACGGCAACGUUUACGACAGUUGCUCCAUUUUACACCAAGAGUGUUCACAGUUUCAUCUCUUGCCUGCUUUGGCCCUUGACAACAUCUGGAAAUACAAUGAUGAAUAUUACCACUACCGGCAAAGAGCGUCCCCUCCUGUCUCCCUCUCCCGCACGCUGCUUUUCUUGCACACUUAUUCAAGUGUCCAAGAGAUGAUGAAGUGUGACCUUGACAACAGGGCGAGUACAUGUUACUACAUGUGGUCUAUGUCUCUAUUUGCACACAUGACUAAUCACGCCAGUGUCUUGUGUUUUCAGCAAUUUGUCCGUCUUUCGUCUGUGUUUAGUCAAGUUUGGUGGAGUAUUUUCAUGGAUCCCAGGGGGAGAAGAGACAAGGCUGCAUGGGAAGCUGCGAUGGGAAAGUGGGCCAGCACUCCUCAGUGCUUCGCUGGAGAGCUCCUUAAAAGGCCUGGAGAGAUGAUGUCGUGGACUCUUUCCUUCUCCCUCACGCCCCCCAUUUAUGUUUUUUCUUUUACUGCCUCAACAGCAGUGGAGAAGCCCAGCAGCAGCAGGAGCAGAGCCAGGCUUUGGCCAAACUCAUCAUGCACAUCAGAGCAACACACGACACAGAUGACUUCAUUGAGCUGAAAUAAAUCUUCCAGAAGCUGAAAAAGCUUUUUUUUAUAUAUUACAAAAAAGGAAAUCCAGAUUGGGUUAAUUCUGCCUGGUUAUAUUAAGUUACAGUUCAAAGUGAAUACUUUUUCAAUUUUUGUCACCAACAAUUGCAGAACUGUGGCAAAGUUCCCUUUAGCAAAAGCAGAAAUGAAUACAAACGCAACAUCACAGCGACAGCAAGAGAUGCAGAAGUGGUGUUUUGCAAGUUGUGCUGGGGCAACAGUGAAACCAUUUUGUUUUUCGCUGCUUUUCACACGCGUCAGGUGGACCUGCUACAGCCACCGCAGCGAUGACCAAUCUGUAUGUCACAAACAUAAUAAAUAGCGGAUGUCUCCUCGCACAGCUGCUGGCCUUUCUGUUUCACCAGGCUCCACUAAAAAAUUUUCCAUCACGACCGAGUACGCGAUGGGGGUCAAGAACCGCUUUGUGUACACAAUGCAUGUGAGGCCGAAAUGCCUUCUUUAACCCCCAGGUGAGCUCCAGGCGUGUGAGUGGUUGAGCUCCUCACCAGGUUUUCAGUCUAUAGAGCCUCUGGGGAAUGCAACGCAGACACACUUUAUGGACAUAUAUGUACCAGUGCUUUGACGUCUUUGCUAUUUUUAGUGCCAGCCCGCCACUGGAGGUUGUUAUGAUGAUGUCAGAAAAGCUUUCAAAAUAAAUCGGAUUGUUUA